UACAGAGGGUGCGAGCGUUAAUCGGAAUUACUGGGCGUAAAGCGUGCGUAGACGGUUAUUUAAGUCGGGUGUGAAAGCCCCGGGCUCAACCUGGGAAUUGCAUUCGAGACUGAAUAGCUAGGGUACGGUAGAGGGAAGCGGAAUUUCCGGUGUAGCGGUGAAAUGCGUAGAUAUCAAGCGGAACACCGGUGGCGAAGGCGGCCUUCUGGACGAUGACUGACGCUGAGACGCGAAAGCGUGGGGAGCAAACAGG
rnacentral:rRNA from 1 species